GACGAACGCUGGCGGCGUGCUUAACACAUGCAAGUCGAACGGAAAGGCCCUGCUUUUGUGGGGUGCUCGAGUGGCGAACGGGUGAGUAACACGUGAGUAACCUGCCCUUGACUUUGGGAUAACUUCAGGAAACUGGGUCUAAUACCGGAUAGGAUCUCCUGCUGCAUGGUGGGGGUUGGAAAGUUUCGGCGGUUGGGGAUGGACUCGCGGCUUAUCAGCUUGUUGGUGGGGUAGUGGCUUACCAAGGCUUUGACGGGUAGCCGGCCUGAGAGGGUGACCGGCCAAAUUGGGAAUGAGAUACGGCACAGACUACUACGGGAGGCAGCAGUGGGGAAUAGUGCACAAUGGGCGGAAGGAUGAUGCAGCAAAGCAGCGUGCGGGAUGACGGGCUUCGGGUUGUAAACCGCUUUCGCCUGUGACGAAGCGUGAGUGACGGUAAUGGGUAAAGAAGCACCGGCUAACUACGUG
rnacentral:rRNA from 1 species